UACGUAGGGGGCUAGCGUUGUCCGGAAUCAUUGGGCGUAAAGCGCGCGUAGGCGGCCCGGUAAGUCCGUUGUGAAAGUCAAAGGCUCAACCUUUGAACGCCGAUGGAUACUGCCGGGCUAGAGUCCGGAAGAGGCGAGUGGAAUUCCUGGUGUAGCGGUGGAAUGCGCAGAUAUCAGGAGGAACACCAAUAGCGAAGGCAGCUCGCUGGGACGGUACUGACGCUGAGGCACGAAAGCGUGGGGAGCAAACAGG
rnacentral:rRNA from 1 species